rnacentral:rRNA from 1 species
GAUGAACGCUGGCGGCGUGCCUAAUACAUGCAAGUCGAGCGAACAGACGAGGAGCUUGCUCCUCUGACGUUAGCGGCGGACGGGUGAGUAACACGUGGAUAACCUACCUAUAAGACUGGGUUAACUUCGGGAAACCGGAGCUAAUACCGGAUAAUAUAUUGAACCGCAUGGUUCAAUAGUGAAAGACGGUUUUGCUGUCACUUAUAGAUGGAUCCGCGCCGCAUUAGCUAGUUGGUAAGGUAACGGCUUACCAAGGCAACGAUGCGUGGCCGACCUGAGAGGGUGAUCGGCCACACUGGAACUGAGACACGGUCCAGACUCCUACGGGAGGCAGCAGUAGGGAAUCUUCCGCAAUGGGCGAAAGCCUGACGGAGCAACGCCGCGUGAGUGAUGAAGGUCUUCGGAUCGUAAAACUCUGUUAUUAGGGAAGAACAAAUGUGUAAGUAACUAUGCACGUCUUGACGGUACCUAAUCAGAAAGCCACGGCUAACUACGUG